CCCCCUCCGCCCCGGAACAGCCCGGGAGGCCCCGCCCACUGCACCCGCCCCCGUUGCUAUGGGGAAGCCCAUUUGCUCCAUGCUGGAAACCUCACACCAGCACGUGGAGCAGGGAGCAAGGUGAUCCAUCAGCUCUCCAGCACCUUGUCUGUCUGUCAGACAUGUGCAAACCAGGCUGCCCUUUGUGAAGGAUUUGUGAGACACACCCAGAUGACAACUCCAAACCUGGAAAACUUCCUUCUAAUACAGUUGGAAUUUUGAAGCUGCUCUCUGCUUUCCAUAUGCUGAAGUGAAUCCCCCUGAAUGGCAGACUCUGAUUCCUGGUUAGACCCUUCCUGCAUUCCUGCACCAUCUUUUCCCAGCUCAUGGAAGCCAUAGAAUCUUCUUCCAUGGGAAAAGCAAAGUUCCCAAAGCUCUGGAGAGCUCCUGGCACAGCUUUUGAAGGUAAUGUCAGAACCUUGUGCAAGCCCAGGGAUCACUGGAAGGAGGGAAUUGAGAUCUGGGAAAAUCUGAGAACAUCUGCUCUAGUUUGCAGUGGUUGUAACAUCCAUGUAUUAUAUAAAAUGUGAAAAUAAGAGAAACAGAGAGGAAAUGAGUACAGCCCAGGAUUCUGGUGGUAUCAAAGCACAAAUUAAAGUUAUGAUACAAACCCCUUGAGCUGUAUUUAUCCCCUUGUGAUUCAGUUUCCUAUAUAUU